UCCUGUGCCCCUCCUGUGCCCCUCCUGUGCCCCUGCCCUCCGCUGCUCCGCGUUCCAGGGGCUCCAUCCCGCGCUGCUCCAGCUGCCACCUGCAGCUCUGCCCCGGCUUCCCAAGAGUUACCCUGCAGAGAAGGGACAGGCCUGUUGGGCAAGGGACUCGCUCCUUGACUGAAAAGAGGAAUUGUUCCCUGAACUACCUGGAGUGGUGCUUUUCUGCAGAAGUGUUGGUGUGGCCACCAGCCAGUGUGGGAGCUCGCAGGGCCACUGACCUCAGUGCAGCUCAGGGCCAGCACUUCUGGCUUUUAGCUGCACAUCAUUGCCUUGGAACAAAGAAACAGGUUUCUUUUCACUUUGUCAUAACUAAAUGAUAGAUAAGGUUUUUCUCAAACCUAAAUCAAAACCUACUUUUAUUGGGGAUUGAACAAGAAAAAUUUCUGCUGCAGAAGAGAGGGCAUUGUUUUGCAAAGCUGUUAACAUUUGAGAGAAAGCUAGCAUCAGACUCAGCUAGCACAUAUGGAGCAUUUCACAGACAUGACCCCAGACUAUUUGUCAGCAUUUAGUUUCCUGAAGCUUGCAGUUGAAUAGAUGGCUGGGCAAUGUUACACUCAAACAUUCAUUCAACACAAGAGGCCCUAUCUCUUGUGGCAUGAUUUUGAAAUGGGCUCGUAAUAACUGUGAUGAAUCAAAUAAAGGAGUACAUGCUGUAGUUAUUUGGUAAAUAUAUGUCCUGGUGAAUCCAUGGGAGUAAAACUGUUCUCAUUCUUCUAUGAUAUUUCAAAAGUGCAGCAGCUUGUGUCCUCAGCUGAGAGGAUGUUUGAAAAAUACUGUUUGGGAUCAUAGAUGGGUGGCUGCCUCCUUAGCUGAGGUGAAAACCCAUUCUGGGUUAUCAGCUAUGCCUACCUAGUCAACCCACUUGCUCGAAAAACUGUUUCUUCAUUUUUCCACUGUAUCUCCUUUACGAAAAUUGUGAAAACUGUGUAUUGGUAUCAUUGAAAGAAAUUUGGGUGUCUCUGUAGAAGGCAACCAGUAAACAACUUGUCUGUGCUCAGAUCAGAAUUUAACCCAGCUCCUGUGAGAAUUGUUAAAAGCAAAAAUUGAGGAAGUUUUCUUGCAAAGUGUUUUUGAUGAAUAUUUUGUAAGAUUUUUUUGUUAAUAACUCUUAUCUCCCAGCUGGGCAGAAUAUGGCUGAUAAUCUUAGGUAUCUGAUAAAGCAGCAGGAAGAAGUGCAUUUUGCUAAAGAGUAAAUCUGAAUUCCUGUUCAACUUACUUUUAUCACUUUUGUCCUUAGAGAUGUCCUCCAUGUGUACUUUAAAAGCUUUCACUAGGGAACAUAAAUUUCAAAUCCCACCUAUCUCUGUGAGCAGUCAGGAAUACUAACUAAUUUCUUACAUCUUUUGUCUGUGGGCGUUGUUAAUUAGGGGUAUUCACAGUGACUGGUAACUACGAAAAUAGCUAAACAAACUUCUUCCUAAUGUUUGUCCUUAUGUGUUUGUCUGUCACUAAAUGUAAUGGGCCAUUUCUGUGGGCUCAUUAUGCUGAUAGUACAUUUUGUUUUCUCUUUACCCUAUUGUGAUUAAGGAAGCAUAACCAGAGCGGCCCAGAAUAAUUGGAAACUCUUCAGCUGGCUUCUCCACCUGUAAUUGCAUGGUCUGUAGCGGGCUGAUGUAGGUGUAAAUGUAGACUCAUUUGUCCAUUACUGAAGGAUUUCUCAAAACAAAGGCAAAGAAGUGUUAUAUAAAAGAUGGCCUCAAGUAUAUUCAGGAUUGAAAAGCAGGGAAAACAGUCUUGCUCCUCUAUGCUGACUCUUACUGAAACUGCUGUGGCACAGGUAAAGUGUGUGAUUACAGGACUGCUCCAGAGAGGAUUAUGCAGCCACUUGUACUUGGUGUUGUUCAGUGUUUUCUGUUCCCACUCCUGGCCCUGCACAGCACCCCACAGGAGCCACACCAUGUGCCUGACAGCAUUGUCUUCCUUCAACUCAGUCAGGCUUGGUGCUGUGAACACUUCCCUGGGGAGUCGGUUCCAGUGCUCAACCACCCUCUGGGUAAACACUUUUCUUGAUACCUAAGCCUCCCCUGACUCAGUUUCAUGCUGUUCCCUUGGGUCCUGUCACUGGUCCCAAGAGUGAGGAGACGGAUGUUUGGCCCUCACGUUUCCCUUGUGAGGGUGUUGAAGACCACAGUGAGGUUUCUCUGCUUUGGUGUCUUGUGCCUUGAUUCUGCCUUGAUUUUGAUGCAGCUCAACAGACAAAAUUCUCUUUUUAUCACCCACUUUUCUUUGGGAUGUGUUGGCUCCUGCUAGGAUAGGAAUGGAGUGCAAUACUGAUAGAAAUCAACUUUGUGAAGCAAUAAACAGAAAAUAUGUUCUAUCACUAUGCCCAAGGGAAUCAUAUCAAACCUUAGUUAUCCAUGUGUUCGAGGCCAAGCCUUAAGGAAAAAGAGGGUACAUGAAUAUAUGGUAUAAAAAUAUAGAUUGCUUCUCUUCACUCUCCAUCUGUGGACCUUCAAGAGCUCUAUAAACACAAGCUCACUGAGCAGCUGUGUACCCCAAGGAGGCAGAUAACACAGUCAUAAAAUAUGCCAAGCAAUUUAAGGGUCCAAAUCUUGAUACAUACCACAGGGUUGUAAGAAUUAAAUAGAGUAGUUUUAACAGAGACACACUCUUCUGGGAGAUUUUUCUUAUAGAAGCAGUAUAAGAUCAAACACCCCUUUUGAUCAUUUUCCAGACUUUGGAGGUGCUUAGUCUUUGAGCAGAAUCAGAAGAGAUUGCUAUAUAAAUAAUGUGAACCAAGACCUCUGGAGGAAGGUGUUUGGUUCAUCUAGGUGGCUGGAAACAACAGGGAUUCUCCUGAGCUUGUUUUAACUCUUGUGUAGGGCUCCCUCAGCACACUGAAAAACUUUUCUCACUUUUAGCAAUCUCCUUUCAGCAUUAUUUUAAUCUGAAAGAUCUCUUGAACAAAAGUGAUUUUAAAGCAGUCUGCAAUUUUUGAUUCCAUUUAUUUCCUGGCUACUCUGAUAUCAAAGGCAGCAGGAAGCAAAAGUGAAAAGAAAUGCAGUAAAGCAGCUGUAGGACCAGCUGUUGUGGGAUCACACAGGAGCCCUGCUUUGCUGUGUGACCAAGUGCUCCAUGUGGGGCUCCCUUCCAUGGCACAGCCAGGGUCUGUCUCCACUGGCACUCUGUCUGUCCAUCAAGGAAGCAGGUGUGCUCAGAUUCAUUCUCCUCAUGUGGAAAAAGGGCAGGAAACAUGAAAAUUGAUGCAAACAUCAGUAAUGCUUCGUCCUGCUGCCUGGGAGAAAAGGAGUGACUUCCUGACACUCUCAGGAAAGUGGGGCAGGAGCUGCUGGAGGGGCAGGUGGUGUCUGGCUAAACGCUCUUGGGUGCACAGAGGAAGACAGGGAAUCCUGCCUGGAUUGCAGAGUGAAGCCUCCCCAUAGGGAAUGGUUCAAGGUGAGAGGAGGACAAAUGAUCUAAGUGCACAAAUUUUCAAUUUAUUCUUUAAAAACCUUUCUUGCCAGAUGUAAUGAAGAGUAAUGCCACAAAACAGAGGAUGAAAAUAAUUUCUUCUUUGUCUCUUGUGUAUGCGGUAACAAUGUAACCAAGAGCUACCCCACUUUUAAUGAGAACUUCACUGCUUUGUUAUUCUUUCUCACUCUUCCUUUGUGUUUUUCUUUGAAUAAAACAAUUUCCCUGUCUGUAUAGCUCAGAGUGUGUGUACUUUGCAAAGAUGCUGCCAUCUGCCAUUUACUUUCCUUUCUGAACUGUGAUCUUAGACAUAUAUUUCAGGGAAAAGGAAGUCAAGUGGUUGAGUUUAUUCUCCUUUUGUGUGAACAACAAUGCAAAUAAUUCCAGAGGCAGGCAGUAAGGCUGCCUGAAAUGCCAACUGCAAAUCUCCUUUUCAGCAAGGCAUUAAUUCAUUCUGUGAAAAAUAUGCUGGGUAAAAAACUCCAUUUCAAUUCCUCCUCCUGUGCCCUGGCUGGAUCAAUUAAACUCCAUAUAGCAAUUUUUGAGAUAAAGUCAAAUAAUUUUGUACAUUUUCUAACCCUUAUUCCAGAUCAUUUUCCUCUCAGUCUCCUGCUACAGGUGCCUCCUGCAGCAGACAGGGGAGCAGUGGUGGAUGCUGCUGGACACAUGGCAGGGCCAAGGCUGCCUGUCCUUGGGUCACCCUGGCCUGCCACGAGGAAGUUUCUCAUCUCCAGCCAGGACAUGGCCCUCUCAGAACCCAGGACCCCUCAGGGGGUGAAGGGGAUUAAUGGUCCCCUCCUUAACAGGGAAAAUGAGAGGGGCUCAUCUUGCUCCUCAACUGCUUGUGCCUUGUUUUUGGAGGUGAGUGCUGCAGGAGCUGACAAAAAAACUACAUGAGAUCAAGAUGAAAAACAUUUCUUUGCAUCUGGGAAACUAGAGCCAGUGUGUCUGUAAGCUGGCAGUGCCAAAAAAAAAAUACCCCUGCAUUCAUUAAUGCUUCAUGAUGAUUUUUAGCCUGAUCAGUUCCCUGGCCAGAUGUGCCUCAUGGUCACACAAAAGCCUGGACCAGCACAGCCAAGGGGCAUCAUCACUUUGAAAUGAGAGGAUGAGGCAAAAUGGGGCAGACCUGUCUUCAUGACCACACUCCUGUCUUAAAUGAGUGAGAACUGAGGCCUUAUUAGAGAACUGAGGGCUCCCCUUAUUCCCUUGGGAACUGUAGCAAUAGCCCCAAGAUUUCCUUACACAACAGUAAGACCAAGCACUCAGCUAUUUCCUCCUCUUGCAUCAACUGCAAACAAGUAAAAAACCAAAAAGCUUUUGCCUGCCUAUCAAAUAUUUAUGUUUAAAUUUCAGUAUCUACUGGAAAGUUUUGGAAAACAAUUCAAGGACUUGUCAAGAAAUAAGAAAAAUACUCUCCCUUUAAACUUUAUUUUUUGUUUUCACAAUACCAAAUAAACUGUUGGAUCCUUUAACUCUCCUGAGAUCACUCUGAAGUUCAACUGGAAACCUAAUUGGAUUUUAACAGGAAAUCUGAUCGUGCAUCUAGCAGCUUUAAAUGGCAUGAAUAGAAUAGCAUUUGAGAAUAUGCUGCUAUUUUGAAGAUGGAUGUGAUUUUCUGAUUUUGACAGAAAAUGAAAACACAGUGAGAGGCUGUCACAAGCUUCUGAAUCAGCCAGAUUCUUCUUAGAAGCCAAAGACAGCUUGGCUGAGGUAGGAUAUUCUCCCACACGUGUCUUUGCCAAAACAGAGAGUGUGCCGAGGCUUUUUUGCUGUUGUUUUUUUCCUCCAGAUGGUGUAAGGAGGGAUAGACUGCUGGUUGCUUGCCAAGGGUUGUACAAUAUUGUGGCAAAAUGCAAUCCCAAGCUGCAGUUUUGAAGGUAGCAUAUCAAUCACUUACUCAUCAGGUUCCUAUAGUUCUUGCAUGUGGGGUCAAACCUUUGUCAUUGGGCCAAGGCUAUUAACAAGUUUAGUCCAAAUGUUUUGAGAGAGACAAAAUUUGGUAUGGUUUUCUCUCCAAAUGUUGAUUAAAGUGUCCACUGCUAGGAAGGUAAGAGCCAAUAUGCAGCUAAUCCUUUAUAAAAAUCUCUAUCUCAAACCUAAAUUGCUAAAUCCCUCAGGUCAGCUAAAAAUAAUAAUGCUUUGGGUUUGCCUGUGAUUUUUCUCCAUAUACAUCCAAAGUAAAAGCUAGAAGUUACUUGGUGUCACAAAUUAUUUACCUUUAUAUGGUUAUGGUUUGAAACAGAUUGAGUUUUUGAAGUUUUAGAAAAUUUCUUGCACUUAAAUGAAGUUAUAACAAUAAAUAGAGCUAAAGAUGAAGAUUUUUUACUAAAAGGUGUGCAGUUUUCCACCAGAUUGAUAUGUACAUCUUCCUCCUGUUGACAUGUGUUUUCAAAAUAAACCUGAUAUUAAUUGCACCUUCACUGGGUAACACAGUGGCAGAAUGAUCCACCUUCUGGCUGUCAGGGCUUUGAGUGGGAUUAAACACUUCUAGGAAAAAAAUUAGCCCCUGAGAGUAGCACAUACACACUAUUUAGCCACUGUACUUGGGAAAACUUCCAAUCCAGGCAGGGUUAGUGACCAAAACAGUCGGGGAAGUCAAUCUGCCUCGUCAUCUUUCAGGUGUAACUUUAUUUUAUAUAAACUGGUCUUGUUCUAGGUGAUCAUUUGGCCUUGCAGUAAUCUAAGAUGCCCAAGGUAAUGGUGACUUAAAAUAAGUGCACUGGCAUUUAUGAACAUAAAAGAAAUUUUAAUAUGGCAACAUGUUGCCAUUUUAAUAAACUACUACAAGUAGUCUCUCCCUUGUAACAGGAGAGGGCAGGGUUGGUGUUGGAUAACAAUUUUUAAAGACUUCAGAAUGACAGCGUGUAUGAAAAACACUUGUAAGAAGAUUGCUUUGCAAUGAGUUAUAAAACAUAGGAAAAAGUUCUCCAAAAACCAAGAUCAGUUUUUAAAAGUGACUUGACAAGCUAAGUAAGCUUGCUCUCUAAUUUAGGCUGUUUUGAAGAAGCAUGGAUGGGAUUUUUAGUGUCUUAGUGAUAUGACAACAGACAAAAAUCUACAAUCACUCUUUGGGUGCCCAGUGCGCUGUAUCUGGACCACCAUAAGUAUUUUCUUCCUCAAGUAAUAACAGAUUAUCAUCCUGGCUGGCAGGAAAUAACCUGUAAAUUAUAUCUAUAUCUAGCACAUAUGGAAGAAAAGCUGUCAGAUAGUAUCAUACAUGAAAAAUCAGUUGCCUUGCUCUACUAACUAAAAGUUUAGCCAUAACAUUUUUUAAUUUGAGAAAUGAUGAAACCAGCAGUAGCAAGAAUAACAUUGCUGAUUUCCAAAAGUAAAUAUAUUAGAUUGAGAGGUAGGUCAUUUGUCAGCCACCCCUGUAGAUAAAAAUGACAAAGACAUUUGCUCAAUAUCACAAAGCCAGAGACUGCAGCACAGUAUUCCAUGUCAGUAUAUAAGACCAUGUAUUCCAAGGCAUCUACCUCUUUUUCUGUAUACCUCUAGAGUCACUGAAGAAGGUCUCAAAAAUCAGCAUGCUCCAGCAUCUCAAGUUCUGGGGGGAGAGAGAGGUUGCAGGGAGUUGUCUUUAUACAGCUGGAUCUGUGUCCUUGAAUGCCAGUCAUAAAUUAGACUCCUAUUGAAUAACAGUGCCCCAUGGCACCUGCUGUUAACAACUGCCCUUCAGAGGGACUGAGCAAUCUUCUGCAGGAUGGAUUAGGCAUUUUACAGUGCUCAUAAGAAACCAAUCUGAAAAAUAGGUCCCAAACCAAUUAAAUCAUCUCUGCUGGUGGAUCUCUAAGUUUUUAAAAACCUGCUGUGUGAAGUUCCUUUUGCAGUAUGUUUUAGAAAUUAGUUUAGCUAUAACUUUAGGUGAUAGAUGCAGAAAAGAAAUGUAGUGGGCCAUUUCAAUUCUACCUUUCUACUUUCUUUGGCAGUUGAUCUUGAGUGCCCACAGAGCCUAUUAAACUCAUUUUGCUAUAGCUUUACUGUUGACAUUUGAGAUUAAAUGCUUGGGUAUGAAGGAAAUUUUUUUAAGGACUAUCAUUUUUUGUUUCAAUACAGCAUUGUCAGGACCACAGGACUGUAACAGCCUGCUGUAGCGUGUUAUUUCAAUCAUUUCUUCUUGCCUAGGGAAAAUAUUUCUGAUUAGUGUAGUUACUGUCCCUUUGUUACAAAGUUUGUACAAAAUUCAGCAGUGUUACUGCAACUGAACUUAAGAGGAGCUGUGAAUGCUUGGCCAUGGCUUUUCCUGUGGACAGUACUCGUUUAUCUCCUCUUGUCUGAUAAGCUACAAACCAGGAUAACUCCUUUCCCAGAGCAGUUGUGAAUCCUGGUGCUACAAUGAAAGAUUUUUCAGUCCCAAAACAAUGGUAUUCUCAGCCACCCAGUUGUCCUUCAGUCUGAAAGAGAUGGAGGCUGGACUCCUGGCGUGUGGGGGGAUAGAAAGUAAGAGAACAGAGAGAGUGCAGAAGGCAAUCUCACCCCUGAGGAGUUGCAGCUGCACUAAUCACCAAAGAUUGGGAACAGGCCUGCCCUUAAUAGGCCACAGCUGUGUCCAAUAAGGAUGGGUGCUAUAAAAAGGGUGGGUUAGCUGCUUGAGGAAAGAGUUGGAGUUGGUUUUGCUGUGAGGAGGUGCCCAUGAGAAAUCACUGGGAAGAUUUGCUCAUGCAUGUUCUACCUGUCUCGCUUGGAGCUAUGGGACACAAUGGUCACUGAUGUCCUACUUUUUCUGUGAACAUCACCUAAAGGACGCAGUGAGGAGAAGGACACUUGACUGGCAAAACACCUUUCAGGUCCUCAGGCACCACUUCAGAUGGGAAAGUCUAAAGCAUCAGGAGCACAAGUGCCAGAUUCUGCUCCCAGUCAUGCUGGAAUCAUGCAGUUCACUGGAUGGAGAUAUCCCACUUGCAACAGGAUCACUAAAAGCUCUCUCAGGACUUGCUUUUGUGAGGGCUCACUAACAUUCAGUCACUGCAGUCAGUAAAGGCAGUAGUGCCAUGGAGCUGCAGGACAGAGCCUCCUGUGGCACCAAAGAGCCACCUGGUCUCAAACUGCCUCGGUGCUGCAGAUUCAAGCACUGCACAACUGAGGAUUGCUUUGGUACUUGGUUAAUCCUGACACACAGUUUACAUGCACUGGCCCUGACAGGAAAUUGCAGCAUGAUUUGGUACCUGCCAUUUUGGUGCCUCGCGUAACAUCUCUAAACAUGAAAAUCCACACAACUUUGAUAUUUUAAAGAAACAUAAACAUCUGGCUUUGGAACUGAGACUGGUCCAAUGGUUAAAGCAAGACUCAGGAUGUAAAAAGAAAGACUUUGAAUAGUUUCUCUUGAGAGGUAAAAGUACAGUAAUUGCUAGUAAAAAGAAGCAGAGGAAGGCAUAUAGUUAUAAAGACAGAGCUUAAGAGGUAAAUGUUUUCAGACGUUGAUCUUGGUUUACUGCUAGCACCAU